GGACUACACGGGUAUCUAAUCCUGUUUGAUCCCCACGCUUUCGGGUUUGAGUGUCAGUGUCUAGCCAGUUAUCCGCCUUCGCCUCCGGUAUUCCACCUGAUAUCUACGUAUUUCACCACUACACCAGGUAUUCUGAUAACCUCUCUAGCACUCAAGCUUAGCAGUUUCAAAUGCACUUCCAGGGUUGAGCCCUGGGCUUUCACACCUGACUUACCAAGCCACCUACACCCGCUUUACGCCCAAUGAUUCCGAACAACGCUAGGAUCCCUCGUCUUACCGCGGCUGCUGGCAC
rnacentral:rRNA from 1 species